rnacentral:tRNA from 1 species
CGCGGGGUGGAGCAGCUCGGUAGCUCGCUGGGCUCAUAACCCAGAGGUCGCAGGUUCAAAUCCUGCCACCGCUA